rnacentral:lncRNA from 1 species
AUGCACCACAAUUGUGUUUUCAAUUCUACAGCAUCAGUUUUCUCUGUGAUGAGGAGAAAAAAACCCACUCUUUUGAAAUGCGAGUCAUUUGUAACGUUACGUACAGAGGAUUCUGGUGUUGUGAUCUUUCACUUUUGCCCUGCAUUUAAUACCGAAGAUCAUUCAGCCAUGGUGAAACCAGAUGGAGGAAAUUCUCUCCUGCAUGACAUGAAGGCCAAUGACGGUCUAUACUCCAGCCAAAGCCCGUUGAUCUUGGACUGCGUACUGUGCAUCGUGCUCUGGCAGUUUUUCAAGCAUCUACAGAGAAAGCUUGUAAGCACCAACCCUCUUCCCCAGGGAUAACUACUCCUUGAGCUUUGAUUUAAUUUUUCCUACAGCCAGGAGGCCACCCACAGAACUCCGGUUCUGCCUCGUUUGCUUCAUUCCUGCUUCAGCAUUAAUAGCAAGGGCAGGGGAGGAACAAGGCUCUAGUAAGACCCACAGGUAGUCCAGGCCUGGGUUUGCAUUUACCUACAGGACUUAAUGGUGGGGAAGAAACUGCUGCAGAGCCAUGGGGAAAUAAUUCUGACAAGCAUUGGAGGCACACGUUCGAAUGCAAUACAUUUCACCAGCACGCACCUCCUGGAGGAGCAACUUAGGUGGAGAUAAAUAAGACAUGUAAUUUCUUGUCAGGCUGUUGCAUUUCCCACCGCUCGUUUUAACAAUUACACUCUGUGACUUUUUUUUAUUAAACAACCGAAAAGAAUAGAUUCUUGUAACCUAGGAAGAAAAAUUGCCUGGAGAGAUGAAACAUAUCCAGACUUAAUUUUCUCUCUUGCACUUUUUGAGGUGUUUGCUAUGCAUGUGUUUCCCAUUCAGCUGCCAGAACCAGACCCGCAGCUUUGGCAGUUCUCUGCCACACUCACCUCUUCAGCAGCCAAUUUCCUUAAAACCAAACCCAGACGAAAUAAAUGGGCUGAUCCAAGCUGUGGCUUUGCUUGC